GAUGAAGAACGCAGCGAAAUGCGAUACGUAAUGUGAAUUGCAGAAUUCAGUGAAUCAUCGAGUCUUUGAACGCACAUUGCGCCCCCUGGUAUUCCGGGGGGCAUGCCUGUCCGAGCGUCAUUGCUGCCCUCAAGCACGGCUUGUGUGUUGGGCCCCGCCCCCCGAUCCCGGGGGGCGGGCCCGAAAGGCAGCGGCGGCACCGCGUCCGGUCCUCGAGCGUAUGGGGCUUUGUCACCCGCUCUGUAGGCCCGGCCGGCGCCUGCCGAUCAACCAAACUUUUUUCCAGGUUAACCUCGGAUCAGGUAGGGAUACCCGCUGAACUUAAGCAUAUCAAUAAGCGGAGGA
rnacentral:misc_RNA from 1 species